rnacentral:rRNA from 1 species
ACCCGACUGCUAUCGGAGUGGGACUAAGCCAUGCGAGUCGUACGUCCCGGGCUGGCGGGACGUGGCGUACGGCUCAGUAGCACGUGGUCAACCUACCCUGCGGACGGCUAUAACCCCGGGAAACUGGGGCUAAUAGCCGAUAGGGGAUAGGCGCUGGAAAGCCCUAUCCCCGAAAAGGCUACACACCCACGCCGUGUGUAGCCGCCGCAGGAUGGGGCUGCGCCCUAUCAGGUAGUAGGUGGGGUAACGGCCCACCUAGCCUAUAACGGGUGCGGGCCCUGGGAGGGGGAGCCCGGAAAAUGGGCACUGAGACAAGGGCCCAGGCCCUACGGGGCGCAGCAGGCGCGAAACCUCCGCUAUGCGCGAAAGCGCGACGGGGCCACUCCGAGUGCCGCCCGCUGAGGGCGGCUUUUGCCCAGUCCAAAAGGCUGGGCGAAUAAGGGGAGGGCAAGAUUGGUGUCAGCCGCCGCGGUAAUACCAACUCCCCGAGUGGUCGGGACGAUUAUUGGGCUUAAAGCGUCCGUAGCCGGUCGGGUGUGUCGUCGGUUAAAUCCGACGUCUCAAGCGUCGGACUGCCGGCGAUACUACCCGGCUAGGGAGCGGGAGAGGCGGCCGGUAUUCCCGGGGUAGGGGUAAAAUCCUCAGAUCCCGGGAGGACCAUCGGUGGCGAAGGCGGGCCGCUAGAACGCGUCCGACGGUGAGGGACGAAAGCUGGGGGAGCGAUCCGGAUUAGAUACCCGGGUAGUCCCAGCUGUAAACGAUGCAGGCUAGGUGUGCGGCCACCUUAGGGGUGGCCGUGUGCCGAAGGGAAACCGUUAAGCCUGCCGCCUGGGGAGUACGGCCGCAAGGCUGAAACUUAAAGGAAUUGGCGGGGGAGCACCACAAGGGGUGGAGCCUGCGGUUCAAUUGGAGUCAACGCCCGAAAACUUACCCGGGGAGACAGCAGGAUGAAGGCCAGGCUGAAGACCUUGCCAGACAAGCUGAGAGGUGGUGCAUGGCCGUCGCCGGCUCGUACCGUGAGGCGUCCGGUUAAGUCCGGCAACGAGCGAGACCCGUGCCGCCAGUUGCUCCAGCCCUCUUCGGGGGGCUGAGGAAACUGGUGGGACUGCCGCCGUAAGGCGGAGGAAGGAGCGGGCUACGGCAGGUCAGUAUGCCCUGAAUCCCCGGGGCCACACGCGGGCUACAAUGGCGCGGACAGAGGGUGGCGAGCCCGAAAGGGUGAGCCAAUCCCUAAACCGCGCCUCAGUUGGGAUCGGGGGCUGCAACCCGUCCCCGUGAACCUGGAAUCCCUAGUAACCGCGCGUCAUCAUCGCGCGGUGAAUACGUCCCUGCUCCU